rnacentral:rRNA from 1 species
GACGAACGCUGGCGGCGUGCCUAAUACAUGCAAGUCGAGCGAGCGAAACUAACAGAUUUACUUCGGUAAUGACGUUAGGAAAGCGAGCGGCGGAUGGGUGAGUAACACGUGGGGAACCUGCCCCAUAGUCUGGCAUACCACUUGGAAACAGGUGCUAAUACCGGAUAAGAAAGCAGAUCGCAUGAUCAGCUUUUAAAAGGCGGCGUAAGCUGUCGCUAUGGGAUGGCCCCGCGGUGCAUUAGCUAGUUGGUAAGGUAAAGGCUUACCAAGGCGAUGAUGCAUAGCCGAGUUGAGAGACUGAUCGGCCACAUUGGGACUGAGACACGGCCCAAACUCCUACGGGAGGCAGCAGUAGGGAAUCUUCCACAAUGGACGCAAGUCUGAUGGAGCAACGCCGCGUGAGUGAAGAAGGUUUUCGGAUCGUAAAGCUCUGUUGUUGGUGAAGAAGGAUAGAGGUAGUAACUGGCCUUUAUUUGACGGUAAUCAACCAGAAAGUCACGGCUAACUACGUG